AACGAACGCUGGCGGCAGGCCUAACACAUGCAAGUCGAGCGAGGACUUCGGUUCUAGCGGCGGACGGGUGAGUAACGCGUGGGAAUGUGCCCUUCUCUACGGAAUAGCCCUGGGAAACUGGGAGUAAUACCGUAUACGCCCUAUUGGGGAAAGAUUUAUCGGAGAAGGAUCAGCCCGCGUUGGAUUAGGUAGUUGGUGGGGUAAUGGCCUACCAAGCCGACGAUCCAUAGCUGGUUUGAGAGGAUGAUCAGCCACACUGGGACUGAGACACGGCCCAGACUCCUACGGGAGGCAGCAGUGGGGAAUCUUAGACAAUGGGGGCAACCCUGAUCUAGCCAUGCCGCGUGAGUGAUGAAGGCCUUAAGGUUGUAAAGCUCUUUCAGCUGGGAAGAUAAUGACGGUACCAGCAGAAGAAGCCCCGGCUAACUCCGUG
rnacentral:rRNA from 1 species